CGCCCCAUCUCUCUCUCUCUCUCUCUCUCUCUCUCUCUCUCUCUCUCUCUCUCUCUCUCUCUCUCUCUCUCUCUCUCUCUCUCUCCGUCUUACACAAAGCUAAAGCCAUUUGAUCACAUUCUGCCUCCGUACUCUGUUUUCCAUCUUCAUCUAUCCUUUACUUUCUUCGCUAUCCCUCUUUUCAUUAUUAUGGUCACUCAUCGAAGCCUCACUUGGCUCUUGGACUUGCUCUCCAUUGCGUUCGUUGUCUCGGGGUCAAGAAGAUCUCCUUUGGGAAAUGAUGCUGGAGCAUUCUGAGAGGUCGUCUAUUCCGCAAAAUACUCGUCUCUUGUGUAAUCUCCUAUUUCUCUACACUCUCUCCGCCGUUAGGAAAGCCGAGGGCACCAGAGGCGUCGUCAGAGCCAACAUGUUCGGCCGUGAGAAACGAUGGGAAAGAAGGCAACGAGUACCAGUUCCUUGUCAGGAUCCCGGUUCCCGCUGAACGACCGCUGGUCCUGGAUCAUCAGCACGAGAAUCUCCGGAAUCUUGCUGGCGAGCUUAACAGGAGAUCAAGUACAGAACAUUGGUUCUUCUUGGAAGAAAGAAUAUAAUGUUUGUGAAGCUGGCAAAUGCAGCUUCCAUCGGGCACUGGUUCCUUCAGAUUAACAUUACCAUGAGCUGAAAGGUUAGAGAACAAAGAGAGGAAGAAAGAAAGAAGAACAAAUCAAUAAUAUAUAUAUAUAUAUAAAGAGUAGUCUGACCAAAAACACAAAAAAAAAAGAAAAAAAGAAAAAAAAAGAGAGGCAACCUUGCCGACUAGGAUUCAGC
rnacentral:lncRNA from 1 species